rnacentral:rRNA from 1 species
AGUCCUAUAACGAGCGCAACCCCUGUUGUUAGUUGCCAGCGAGUAAUGUCGGGAACUCUAGCAAGACUGCCGGUGCAAACCGUGAGGAAGGUGGGGAUGACGUCAAAUCAUCACGGCCCUUACGUCCUGGGCCACACACGUGCUACAAUGGUAGGUACAGAGAGCAGCCACGUCGCAAGGCGGAGCGAAUCUAUAAAACCUAUCACAGUUCGGAUCGGGGUCUGCAACUCGACCCCGUGAAGCUGGAAUCGCUAGUAAUCGCAUAUCAGCCAUGAUGCGGUGAAUACGUUCCCGGGCCUU